rnacentral:tRNA from 1 species
GGGGGUGUGGCUCAGUUGGUAGAGCGUUCGCUUAGCAGCUUAGCUGCGAAAGGUCCUGAGUUCGAUUCUUAGCUCCUCCA